rnacentral:rRNA from 1 species
UCAGUUCGGAUUGUAGUCUGNAACCCGACUACAUGAAGCUGGAAUCGCUAGUAAUCGCGAAUCAGAAUGUCGCGGUGAAUACGUUCCCGGGUCUUGUACACACCGCCCGUCACACCAUGGGAGUUGGAAAUGCCCGAAGCCGGUGACCGAACCUUAGGGACGGAGCCGUCGAAGGUGGAGCCAAUGACUGGGGUGAAGUCGUAACAAGGUAUC